CCUACGGGGGGCAGCAGUGGGGGAUAUUGCACAAUGGGGGGAACCCUGAUGCAGCGACGCCGCGUGGGUGAAGAAGCGCCUCGGCGCGUAAAGCCCUGUCAGCAGGGAAGAAAAUGACGGUACCUGAAGAAGAAGCCCCGGCUAACUACGUGCCAGCAGCCGCGGUAAUACGUAGGGGGCAAGCGUUAUCCGGAUUUACUGGGUGUAAAGGGGGCGCAGACGGCGAUGCAAGCCAGGAGUGAAAGCCCGGGGCCCAACCCCGGGACUGCUCUUGGAACUGCGUGGCUGGAGUGCAGGAGGGGCAG
rnacentral:rRNA from 1 species